rnacentral:rRNA from 1 species
GAUGAACGCUGGCGGCGUGCCUAACACAUGCAAGUCGAGCGAAGCACUUUGCUUAGAUUCUUCGGAUGAAGAGGAUUGUGACUGAGCGGCGGACGGGUGAGUAACGCGUGGGUAACCUGCCUCAUACAGGGGGAUAACAGUUAGACAUGACUGCUAAUACCGCAUAAGACCACAGCACCGCAUGGUGCGGGGGUAAAAACUCCGGUGGUAUGAGAUGGACCCGCGUCUGAUUAGCUAGUUGGUAAGGUAACGGCUUACCAAGGCGACGAUCAGUAGCCGACCUGAGAGGGUGACCGGCCACAUUGGGACUGAGACACGGCCCAAACUCCUACGGGAGGCAGCAGUGGGGAAUAUUGCACAAUGGGGGAAACCCUGAUACAGCGACGCCGCGUGAGCGAAGAAGUAUUUCGGUAUGUAAAGCUCUAUCAGCAGGGAAGAAAAUGACGGUACCUGACUAAGAAGCACCGGCUAAAUACGUGCCAGCAGCCGCGGUAAUACGUAUGGUGCAAGCGUUAUCCGGAUUUACUGGGUGUAAAGGGAGCGUAGACGGAUGGGCAAGUCUGAUGUGAAAACCCGGGGCUCAGCCCCGGGACUGCAUUGGAAACUGUUCAUCUAGAGUGCCGGAGAGGUAAGUGGAAUUCCUAGUGUAGCGGUGAAAUGCGUAGAUAUUAGGAGGAACACCAGUGGCGAAGGCGGCUUACUGGACAGUAACUGACGUUGAGGCUCGAAAGCGUGGGGAGCAAACAGG